CCGACUGAUUGCUAAUUGUUAAAGUUGGAAACUCUUCUUUCAACAGUUUGUUCCAUGUCUACAGCAUGUAUGUCAGCCCUUGCGGGAAUUUUGUCUUCGGCAAAAUUCUUCGUUGAGGUUGUCAUUUUGGGGAUUGAUAAAACUUUGCCAAAUCAUUCGGUUGAGAGAGUGCAAGCACUUCUCCCUGAUAUCUAUAUUAUUUCGUGUGCGCAAUUUGUAUUAUGAUAUAAAUGGAUUUCAGGCCUUUAUCUCUCCAAUAAGUUGGUGCACAUAGAAAUUAAUCCCAUGGAAUUGUAUGAUUUUGUUUAGUGAGUUUUUUUUAUUUUAGAUAAGAGGCUUUACGCUCUGUUCCGUUUUAUCCGAAAAGAAACAACAUCGUUAGCAUUUAGUGAGUUUGCUCUUGAAAUAUUAGUGUCUGAUUUUUACGUCCACGCAUAUUCUCGCAUGGUGGAUUUUUCUUUCUUUUUCUCAAUACAUUGCAUUGUUUAUCUUUGCAGACAUUCAAAUUUCAUUAUCAACAACAACUGUUGCUACGGAUUUCCGAAGCAAAACACGGGGAGUCAUCUAGUAUCUACUUGUUAUUGGGUAUUCCCUCUGUUUCUAAAUUCUUAUCAUGAUUUUAGUUUAUAUUUUUACAUUUGAACUAAAACAGCGGCACGAAUUAGAAACGGAGUGAGUAAUGGAAAAUAUUAUCGUACCAUGUAUGGUUGCUAUGUUGCUCCUUGACAAGAGACCUCUUCAGAUUGAUCAAAAUCGUGUGUCAGUAAUUCCCGUGCGGCCAUGCUUGCUUCCAAGUCCAACAUAGCAUAUGUCAGCUGCCCAAUUAAUAACUUACACAAUGCGCUGACCCAGGCCCAACCAGAUCGAGGAGAGGCGAUGGUGGCCCGGCCAGGAACGACGGGCCCUUCGUGGGUCGUGGCUACGUCAUGGCAACUGGGCUCGGCCUUGUAAAAUGAGUUCUAUAUAUAUGGUUGUUUCGCUCAAAAAAAAGAAAAACAGCUGCGGUUGUUAACAGAAAGGGUGGCGAAAGAGUAGGCGGCUCUGCCGCGAGUUAGAGGUCCCCCGGUUCCUCGAUCUCGACUGAUCACAGUUCCCAUGUUUGAGCGCGG
rnacentral:lncRNA from 1 species